CAAGAUAGCUUAUCAAAGCAUCUAGCUUACAACUAGAAGAUGUCAACUAAGACUUUUUUGC
rnacentral:tRNA from 1 species